rnacentral:lncRNA from 1 species
UAAAUGAAAUUUGACAAAAACAUUCAGCAGCGUGAAUCAACAAUAAAUCAACGUGUGCAGCCCUCAACAAUGAAAAUGCUAAAAACCAAGAAAUGUUUCCUCCUCAACGCUUGCAAAAAUAAGAAAAUGGAAAAGAAAAUGUUGCUUCUAUCAUUCAUCCAUUAUCCAUCACCAUCCACAUUGUUUCAAGUAAAAGGCUCUACAA